CACUCCUGCGGGAGGCAGCAGUGGGGAAUUUUGGACAAUGGGCGAAAGCCUGAUCCAGCAAUGCCGCGUGUGUGAAGAAGGCCUUCGGGUUGUAAAGCACUUUUGUCCGGAAAGAAAUCCUUGGCUCUAAUACAGUCGGGGGAUGACGGUACCGGAAGAAUAAGCACCGGCUAACUACGUGCCAGCAGCCGCGGUAAUACGUAGGGUGCGAGCGUUAAUCGGAAUUACUGGGCGUAAAGCGUGCGCAGGCGGUUUGCUAAGACCGAUGUGAAAUCCCCGGGCUCAACCUGGGAACUGCAUUGGUGACUGGCAGGCUAGAGUAUGGCAGAGGGGGGUAGAAUUCCACGUGUAGCAGUGAAAUGCGUAGAGAUGUGGAGGAAUACCGAUGGCGAAGGCAGCCCCCUGGGCCAAUACUGACGCUCAUGCACGAAAGCGUGGGGAGCAAACAGGAUUAGAAACCCCAGUAGUCCCA
rnacentral:rRNA from 1 species